UACAGAGGUCCCAAGCGUUGUUCGGAUUUACUGGGCGUAAAGGGUGCGUAGGUGGCGGGGUAAGUCUGGUGUGAAAGCUCCGAGCUCAACUCGGAAAAGCAUUGGAAACUAUUCCGCUAGGGGGUCGGAGGGGAGACUGGAAUUCUCGGGUGUAGCAGUGAAAUGCGUAGAUAUCGAGAGGAACACCUGCGGCGAAGGCGGGUUGCUGGGCUGACACGUGACGCUGAUGCGCGAAAGCCAGGGGAGCGAACGGG
rnacentral:rRNA from 1 species